GCAUCAGAUGUCAACCCUACACAGAAUGCGAAACUCUUUGCUUUAUCCUUCAUUGUUUUGAAACUUUCUUCUCUCUUUUGUUGCUGCCAUGGCUUCUAUGCUCAUCAUUUUUCCCCUUCAUCUUUUCCGCUUGAAGCAGUGUUCAUUGAUUUGCGAUUGCUUAUCCUGGUUCAUUGAUUUGCGAUCGCUUAUCCUGGUUCAUUGAUUUGCGAUCGCUUAUCCGGUGGUUCAUUGAUUUGCGAUCGUGGCCUUUUGACGUGAGAUCCUGAUAUGUUCGAUUUGUUGGCCGUCUCUGCUCUAAAACGCACGGAUCUGCUUCUCCCAUGGAUCUAUUUCACAGACUGUCGCUGUUCUGGUUCUUGUGGCGAGUUCUCCACCAGCGAUGAUCUCAGAAAGCACAUCGGAGUGAUGCAUAAGACGAUUGUCGAUAGGCCGCCACAAAACAUAUAGGAUCUCUAUGUUUUCAAUAAAAAUGUCUGCAGUAACAAGAACGAUUUAGUUUAAUUGGAGAUUCUUGGAGACGACCGUUCAUUUACAUUUGUGGCCAACCCUUUUGGGGCAAGGAAAAACAGUACAGUUUAGUAAACAAUGAGGAUCUCUAUGUUUUCAAUAAAAAUGUCUUAAGUAACAAGAAUGAUUAGUUUAAUUGGGAAUUCUUGGAGACGACCGUUCAUUUACAUUUGUGGCCAACCCUUUUGGGGUAAGGAAAAACAGGACAGUUUAGUUGUAGAUACAAUGAGUGCUCGUAUGGAUUUCUGCUGCCGCCAUGCAUUAAGAAAUGGAAAUGGAAGACCACUAAUAGCGAGAUGUGCCAUUGAACUUGCUGGAAGAUUCCUCCCAGUUGGGUAUGGUCAUGGUGGCACUUGAAGCCUGUCAUACUCAGGACUAACUAUUACGAAUUGUCUUGAAUUUAGCAAAAAAAUCUGAUAAUGUUUCGUUAAAACUGGCAAUAUUCCUUAGAAAACAUAAUAACGGUCGUUGACUACGUUCCCAGUUACGUUUUACUAGAGUUUCUUUUGACGGUCGUUGACUAUAUCAUGGUGCAAUUGUUUCCUAAAUUUUUGAUUAAAAAUAAAGUUUCUAUUAAUUUCUGA